AGCAGCAGCAGCAGUAGUAGAAGCACCAGUAGUAGCACCAGUAGUAGUGGCAGUAGUAGUAGAGGUAGAAGCACCAGUAGUAGUAGUAGUAGUAGUAGUAGUAGCACCAGUAGCAGUAGACACACCAUCAAUAGUAGUAGUAGUAGUAGUAGCACUACCACCACCAGCAGCUGCAGCAGUAGUAGUAGAAGCACUAGUAGUAGUAGUAGUAGUAGCAGAAGCACCAGGAGUAGUAGCAGUAGAAGCACCAGUAGUAGUUGAAGUAGUAGAGCACCAGCAGUAGUAGUAGUAGAGCACCAGCACCAGCAGUAGUAGUAGUAGUAGAGCACCAGCAGUAGUAGUAGUAGUAGUAGUAGUAGUAGUAGUAGAAGCACCAGGAGUAGUAGUAGUAGUAGUAAAAGCACCAGUAGAAGUAGUAGAAGUAAAAGCACCAGCAUCAGUAAUAGUAGUAGUAGUAGUAGUAGAAGCACCAGGAGUAGUAGUAGCAGUAGUGGAAGAAGCACCAGUAGAAGUAGUAGUAGUAGUAGUAGUAGUAGUAGUAGUAGUAGUAGUAGUAGUAGUAGUAGAAGCACCAGUAGAUGCAGCAGCAGUAGUAGAUGCACAAGUAGUAGUAGUAGUAGUAGUAGUAGUAGUAGAGGCACCAGUAGUAGUAGUAGUAGUAGUAGUAGUAGUAGUAGUAGAAGUAGUAAUAGAAGCACCAGGAGUAGUAGAAGUAGUAGUAGAAGCACCAGGAGUAGUAGAAGUAGUAGUAGAAGCACCAGUAGUAGUAGUAGUAGUAGCAGCAGCAGCAGCAGCAGCAGCAGUAGUAGGAGCACCAGCAGUAGAAGCACCAGAAGUAGUAGAAGCACCAGCAGUAGAAGCACCAGCAGUAGUAGUAGCAGCAGCAGGAGCAGCAGCAUUAGAAGCACCAGUAGUAGCAGGAGUAGUAGCAGCAGCAGCAGCAGUAGUAGAAGCACCAGUAUUAGUAGUAGUAGUAGUAGAAGUAGAAGCACCAGUAGUAGUAGUAGUAGUAGAAGUAGAAGCACCAGUAGUAGUAGCACCAGCACACCAGUAGUAUGGGCACCAAAAGUAGUAGUAGUAGUAGUAGUAGUAGAAGCACCAGUAGUAGUAGUAGUAGUAGUAGUAGUACCAGUAGUAGUAGUAGUAGUAGUAGUACCAGUAGUACCAGUAGUAGUAGUAGUAGUAGUAGCAGCACCAGUAGUAGUAGUAGUAAUAGUAGCAGCAGUAGAAGCACCAGCAGUAGUAGCAGUAGUAGCAGUAGUAGUAGCAGCAGUUGAAGCACCAGUAGUAAUAGUACUAGUAGCAGCAGCAGUAGUAGUAGGGUUAGGAGAAGUA
ensembl:lncRNA